AUGAACUCUUCCCUUGGCCUUACAAUUGCACUCUUUUUAGUGAUUGGAGAAAGCAAUGGAGACUCGGUGACUCAGACAGAAGGUCAAGUGACGCUCUCUGAAGGGAAUUCUAUGACUGUGAACUAUUCCUAUGAAACUAAACAGUACCCUUCCCUGUUCUGGUAUGUGCAGUAUCCUGGAGAAGGUCCACAGCUCCUCUUUAGAGUCUCAAAGGCCAAUGACAAGGGAAUCAGCAGAGGAUUUGAAGCCACAUAUGAUGAGGAAACCACCUCCUUCCACUUGCAGAAAGCCUCAGUGCAAGAGUCAGACUCGGCUGUGUACUACUGUGCUCUGAGUGACACAGUGACAGAAACCACAGCAGGAGCUGAGCACAAACUCUGA